rnacentral:rRNA from 1 species
GCAGUCGCCGCGGGAAUACAGAGGGUGCGAGCGUUAAUCGGAUUUACUGGGCGUAAAGCGUGCGUAGGCGGCUUUUUAAGUCGGAUGUGAAAUCCCUGAGCUUAACUUAGGAAUUGCAUUCGAUACUGGGAAGCUAGAGUAUGGGAGAGGAUGGUAGAAUUCCAGGUGUAGCGGUGAAAUGCGUAGAGAUCUGGAGGAAUACCGAUGGCGAAGGCAGCCAUCUGGCCUAAUACUGACGCUGAGGUACGAAAGCAUGGGGAGCAAACAGGAUUAGAUACCCCAGUAGUCCCUGUCUCUUAUAC